rnacentral:rRNA from 1 species
UGCAGUCGAGGGGUAUAGUUCUUCGGAACUAGAGACCGGCGCACGGGUGCGUAACGCGUAUGCAAUCUACCUUUUACAGAGGGAUAGCCCAGAGAAAUUUGGAUUAAUACCUCAUAGUAUAUAGCCCUGGCAUCAGGAUUAUAUUAAAGUCACAACGGUAAAAGAUGAGCAUGCGUCCCAUUAGCUAGUUGGUAAGGUAACGGCUUACCAAGGCUACGAUGGGUAGGGGUCCUGAGAGGGAGAUCCCCCACACUGGUACUGAGACACGGACCAGACUCCUACGGGAGGCAGCAGUGAGGAAUAUUGGACAAUGGGCGCAAGCCUGAUCCAGCCAUGCCGCGUGCAGGAUGACGGUCCUAUGGAUUGUAAACUGCUUUUAUACGAGAAGAAACACUCCUUCGUGAAGGAGCUUGACGGUAUCGUAAGAAUAAGGAUCGGCUAACUCCGUGCCAGCAGCCGCGGUAAUACGGAGGAUCCAAGCGUUAUCCGGAAUCAUUGGGUUUAAAGGGUCCGUAGGCGGUUUAAUAAGUCAGUGGUGAAAGCCCAUCGCUCAACGGUGGAACGGCCAUUGAUACUGUUAGACUUGAAUUAUUAGGAAGUAACUAGAAUAUGUAGUGUAGCGGUGAAAUGCUUAGAGAUUACAUGGAAUACCAAUUGCGAAGGCAGGUUACUACUAAUUGAUUGACGCUGAUGGACGAAAGCGUGGGUAGCGAACAGGAUUAGAUACCCUGGUAGUCCACGCCCGUAAAACGAUGGAUACUAGCUGUUGGAAGCAAUUUCAGUGGCUAAGCGAAAGUGAUAA